AUACGGAGGAUCCGAGCGUUAUCCGGAUUUAUUGGGUUUAAAGGGUGCGCAGGCGGCCAUUUAAGUCAGCGGUUAAAUCGUGGGGCUCAACCCCAUUCUGCCGUUGAUACUGGGUGGCUUGAUUGCGGUCGAGGUUGGCGGAAUUCGUUGUGUAGCGGUGAAAUGCAUAGAUAUGACGAAGAACACCGAUUGCGUAGGCAGCUGACCAGAUCGCAAAUGACGCUCAUGCACGAAAGUGCGGGGAUCGAACAGGAUUAGAUACCCUGGUAGUCCGCACAGUAAACGAUGAAUACUUGUUUUCGGCGAUAUAAUGUCGGAGGCAAAGCGAAAGCGAUAAGUAUUCCACCUGGGGAGUACGCCGGCAUCGGUGAAACUCAAAGGAAUUGACGGGU
rnacentral:rRNA from 1 species